CCUACGGGAGGCAGCAGGGAGGAAUAUUGGGCAAUGGACGAGAGUCUGAACCAGCCAAGUAGCGUGAAGGAUGACUGCCCUAUGGGUUGUAAACUUCUGUUAUAAAGGAAUAAAACGAGGCACGUGUGCCUUUUUGCAUGUACUUUAUGAAGAAGGAUCGGCUAACUCCGUGCCAGCAGCCGCGGUAAUACGGAGGAUCCGAGCGUUAUCCGGAUUUAUUGGGUUUCAAGGGAGCGUAGAUGGGUUGUUAAGUCAGUUGUGAAAGUUUGCGGCUCAACCGUAAAAUUGCAAUUGAUACUGGCAGUCUUGUGUCCAGUUGCGGUAGGCGGCCUUCGUGUUGUAGCGGUGCAAUGCUUCGAUAUCAC
rnacentral:rRNA from 1 species